rnacentral:rRNA from 1 species
ACAACUUUCAACAACGGAUCUCUAGGCUCUCGCAUCGAUGAAGAACGCAGCGAAAUGCGAUAAGUAAUGUGAAUUGCAGAAUUCAGUGAAUCAUCGAAUCUUUGAACGCACCUUGCGCCCCUUGGUAUUCCGAGGGGCAUGCCUGUUUGAGUGUCAUGUU